GCUCCCUUUCAGAGAAGGUUGUGCCCCUGCUACUCUUCAUUUCCUCCCUCGAUAAACCUCUCUGGAUCAAGCAUGCAAGAAGCCCUCCUGCUCUUCAUUCUGUGAUAUUUUUAAUGGCAGCUUUGCAAGUCUUGGAAUGCUUUCUUCAUAGGGAAGGGAAGAGAAGGGAAACAUGCUAGUAUGAAAAGCUUUAUCAGACAAGCUUCUGGGAACACAGUCUGAACUACAUGCCACAGUCUGGGAACACAGUCUGAAGUAAUACAACAAGGGUAACAAAAAUAUUAUUGCUUCCUGCCAAACACUACCUUGC